rnacentral:misc_RNA from 1 species
UUGUUACAUUAAUCAGAUGGGGGAUAAGACCAAAAGUGGAAAAUGGAAAAACUCAAAAUUAUGCAGAACUCAAAGCUUAUAAGUUUAUUCUCUUUUUGUACAAAAGAAAUUUGCCGUUAACUUUGUCAAAAUGAAGCAAUUCGAUUCAUAGAAUCUGUUGUUCUUCUUUCUGGUCCUCUUCUAUUGUAUCUUGCAAGUCUAUUCGGCCGAAUAAGGACACUAAUGAGGGAGGCUUUGAAUGUCCAUUUGAACUCAUAUCUAUGCCUGAAGUUUCAGCUGAUUUGAGGAUAUCUGAUUUCUUGAAAGUAAAUCCAAUAAAAUUGGAAUCUUUUGAUGUCAGCAUCUUUCGCCAGGGUCCGACUCUUGGUGUUGCUGAUGAAGGAUGUUCUACCUCAGGGAACUUCUCAAAAUUUUGAGUAUCUAACUCUCCAGUAACAAUAGGUUUAUAGGCAGCCUCCAUUUCAUAAAGCAUGUCCCAGUUGACUCCUUUGAACCAAGGAUGAGCCUUUAUUUCUUCCACUCCUGCGGUUCCCAAUCUUGAUUCGACAUCGCACAAUAAACGACAGAUCAGAUCCUUAGCCUCAUUUGAUACUUUUGGUUCGUCUGGGAAUUUCAAGCAUGUUCUCCAACUGAUUAUCUUGCGUGCUGUCAUUCUUGGAUGCUCUGAACAGAAGGGAGGAUACCCAACAAGCAUCUCAUACAAGAUUGCUCCUAAUGACCACCAAUCACAUUCAAUUCCAUAUCCUUUUUUCAACAAAACCUCCGGUGCCAUGUAAUCAAGAGUUCCAACGGUAGAAUAUGCCAAGGCACGACGGUUGCGUUUCCACUGCUGUAUUUGUUCUUUUGGCAUUGGCCAUGAAGCUCUAUCACCACCAGAAUGCCCUUCAGUCCCGUUAAUAGACUCCGCAUUCGUAAGGUCUUCAUCUUCCAAUAAUAUUGAUGAGUAUUUAUUUUCCAGGGGUUUACAUAAACCAAAAUCUGAAAGCUUUAAAUGGCCAUUUCUAUCUAGUAUAAGGUUAUCAGGUUUUAUGUCCCUAUGUACAUAAUGAUGCUGAUGAAUAGACUGAAUAGCCAAAAUACUCUCAGCAAUGUAGAACCGUGCGACAUCUUCAGAAAGAACAUCUUCUCUCAUCAGUAAGGUCAUAAUGUCACCACCAGGUAAAUAUUCCAUUAUGAGGUACAAGAAAUCUGAGUCUUGGAAAGAAUAGAAGAGCUUCACUAUGCACCGACUAUCAACUUCCACAAGCAAAUUCCUCUCAGAUCUGACAUGCUCAACCUGUCCACGGCUAAGCAUGUCUGAUUUCUUCAGUUUUUUCAUGGCAAAGAUUUCUCCAGUACUUUUGAAUCUACACAACCUAACCUCACCAAAGGCACCUUUACCAAUAACAGUCAACUGUUCAAAAUCAUCAAUCCCAACUUUAUGCCUCUGCAAUCUCAUAUACUCAGUCUCCCUCUUCUCCAAAUUCCUAAGCAUCUUCUCUUGCUCAUCACUCGGUACCUGUGCUUCUUGAGCCUUCCUCUGCAACGCCCAUCGCCUUUCUUUACGAUCUUGCAAGCCUUGAAGGUAAUUUUUGUAAUGAUUCUCAAUAAACUGCUUAGCAGCAGCAGCUUUCUG